rnacentral:snoRNA from 1 species
AUUUAUUGUGAUGAAUACUUAAUAAAUUCUUGAUAGGAAGAGUAUGAAACAUAAUGAGUACGAAAAAACCAUGCUGAUCUAAUC